rnacentral:lncRNA from 1 species
CCAGGCCUUCCCUGGCCAGCGUGACCUACUUUCCUGGCUGAGUGACACUGAGGGGAAAAUGGUCGGUGACGGGCAGCCCUGCUCUGCGUGCAGCCAGCGGGGAGGGUGACCAGUGCCCUCGCAGCCAGCCAAGAACUGUGAAGAAAGAAGACAGCAGAGGAAAGUCUAGGCCUCUCCUGUCCAGAUACUCAGCGUGGGGACACCAGGCCCACGGACGUCACCUCUCGGCUCAGCCCGGGGUGACCAACCAGAGCCCAGGGUCCCCGGUGAUUUGGAGCAGGAGGACAACUCCAAGCCGGGAGCCACGGGAGCACAGCCACGCCCAGAGGCCCCUCCGUGCCUGCGGGAAACAACCAGCAGCAAACACCGGGCUCACAGGCGC